rnacentral:rRNA from 1 species
AACGAACGCUGGCGGCAGGCUUAACACAUGCAAGUCGAACGCCUGUAGCAAUACAGGAGUGGCAGACGGGUGAGUAACACGUGGGAACGUGCCCAAAGGUACGGAACAACUCCGGGAAACUGGAGCUAAUACCGUAUGUGCCCGAGAGGGGAAAGAUUUAUCGCCUUUGGAUCGGCCCGCGUCUGAUUAGCUAGUUGGUGGGGUAAUGGCCUACCAAGGCGACGAUCAGUAGCUGGUCUGAGAGGAUGGCCAGCCACACUGGGACUGAGACACGGCCCAGACUCCUACGGGAGGCAGCAGUGGGGAAUAUUGGACAAUGGGCGCAAGCCUGAUCCAGCCAUGCCGCGUGAGUGAUGAAGGCCUUAGGGUUGUAAAGCUCUUUCGCCAGGGACGAUAAUGACGGUACCUGGAUAAGAAGCCCCGGCUAACUUCGUGCCAGCAGCCGCGGUAAAAC